UCCGCCUGAUUAAUUAUCCAU
rnacentral:siRNA from 1 species